rnacentral:rRNA from 1 species
UGUUCGGGUUGUCAUGCCAAUGGCAUUGCCCGGUAGCUAAGUUCGGAAUCGAUAAGCGCUGAAAGCAUCUAAGCGCGAAGCGAGCCCUGAGAUGAGUCUUCCCUGGCACUUUAAGUGUCCUAAAGGGUUGUUCAAGACUAGAACGUUGAUAGGCAGGGUGUGUAAGUGCUGUGAGGCAUUGAGCUAACCUGUACUAAUUGCCCGUGAGGCUUAACCAUACAACACCCAAGGGGUUU